rnacentral:rRNA from 1 species
UACAGAGGUCCCAAGCGUUGUUCGGAUUCACUGGGACGGUAAAGGGUGCGCAGGUGGGCUGGUAAGUUUGAUGUGAAAAGCCCCCGGGCUUAACCCGGGAAUGGCAUUGAAUACUACUGGUCUGGAGGGUUGGAGGGGGGACUGGAAUUCUUGGUGUAGCAGUGAAAUGCGUAGAUAUCAAGAGGAACACCAGUGGCGAAGGCGAGUCCCCUGGACAAUACCUGACACUGAGGCACGAAAGCUAGGGGAGCAAACAGG